UACGUAGGGGGCAAGCGUUGUCCGGAUUUAUUGGGCGUAAAGAGCGUGUAGGCGGCCCGAUAAGUCCGCCGUGAAAGUCCAGGGCUCAACCCUGGAAUGCCGGUGGAAACUGUCGGGCUGGAGUCCGGAAGAGGCGAGUGGAAUUCCUGGUGUAGCGGUGAAAUGCGCAGAUAUCAGGAGGAACACCGGUGGCGAAGGCGGCAUCCUGGACCAAUACUGACACUGAGGAGCGAAAGCCCAGGGGAGCAAACGGG
rnacentral:rRNA from 1 species